CGGGGGCGGACCCACCUUUCCCAAAGCGCAUGCGCACUGGCUAGACCGUCCUGUCACUCAGCCGUGAGCCGGCAUCCCAUUGGCUUCAACGGCUCGCGCUCUGAAUCCGCGGAAUUUGUCUUCUGAGAGCGCCGCGGAGCUGGGUCGCUGCAGGGGAUCCCAGAGACCCGGACGCAGGACUGUCCCAGGCCGCCGGGAGGCCGGGGAGGCACCCUCCGCCCGAUGAUGCCGCAGCCUCUCGCCCCAUCGCGCCGGCCUCGGGCUUCUAGGCAACUGAAAAAGAGCGAAGAGUAAGACAAAGGCAGUUCAAAUCCUCGAAGCAGAACAGCUAAAAGCAAAGUCAAGGGAAGCAAAUAUAAACGAGAAAGUUUAAUUAAGCAAAACUUAGUUUUUGCAGAGGCAGGGCAAACAACUGGAAUUCAAGGUGAUGGAAUCCAGAAAAGAUAAAACGGAGCAGUUCGGUCCUCCAUGCUGCUGGUGAGUCACUGGAGGAAGGCGCUUUGGAAUGAAGGGAAGACCACCUAGGCCACCGCUGAUGCACCUGUCUCCAAACUCUGAUGGGCCCCUGGACCAAAGGGAAACUUUUGAUUGAAAUAUGCACUCAGGAACAUGCACAGAUUGUAAGUGGACAGCUCAGUGUGUCUACAUCUGCAUAGGCAGCUCCCAGGCAAAGAAUUCAGACGUCACCUGCUCCCCUGAAGUCUUGCCCCUCAUC